rnacentral:rRNA from 1 species
AUUGAACGCUGGCGGCAGGCCUAACACAUGCAAGUCGAGCGGGGUUUUCGGACCUAGCGGCGGACGGGUGAGUAAUGCGUAGGAAGCUGCCCGACAGAGGGGGAUACCAGUUGGAAACGACUGUUAAUACCGCAUAAUGUCUACGGACCAAAGUGUGGGACCUUCGGGCCACAUGCUAUCGGAUGCGCCUACGUGGGAUUAGCUAGUUGGUGAGGUAAUUGCUCACCAAGGCGACGAUCUCUAGCUGGUUUGAGAGGAUGAUCAGCCACACUGGAACUGGGACACGGUCCAGACUCCUACGGGAGGCAGCAGUGGGGAAUAUUGGACAAUGGGCGCAAGCCUGAUCCAGCCAUGCCGCGUGUGUGAAGAAGGCCUUCGGGUUGUAAAGCACUUCCAGCGAGGAGGAAGGGGUGUGUGUUAAUAGUACACACCUUUGACGUUACUCGCAGAAGAAGCACCGGCUAACUCUGUGCCAGCCGCCGCGGUAACAC